rnacentral:rRNA from 1 species
UGCAAGUCGAGCGGAGUUAUUCCUUCGGGGAUAACUUAGCGGCGGACGGGUGAGUAACACGUAGGCAACCUGCCUGUAAGAUCGGGAUAACUACCGGAAACGGUAGCUAAGACCGAAUAAUCAGCUUGGUCGCAUGACCGAGCUGGGAAAAGCGGAGCAAUCUGCUACUUACAGAUGGGCCUGCGGCGCAUUAGCUAGUUGGUGGGGUAACGGCUCACCAAGGCGACGAUGCGUAGCCGACCUGAGAGGGUGAACGGCCACACUGGGACUGAGACACGGCCCAGACUCCUACGGGAGGCAGCAGUAGGGAAUCUUCCGCAAUGGACGCAAGUCUGACGGAGCAACGCCGCGUGAGUGAUGAAGGUUUUCGGAUCGUAAAGCUCUGUUGCCAGGGAAGAACGCUUGGGAGAGUAACUGCUCUCAAGGUGACGGUACCUGAGAAGAAAGCCCCGGCUAACUACGUGCCAGCAGCCGCGGUAAUACGUAGGGGGCAAGCGUUGUCCGGAAUUAUUGGGCGUAAAGCGCGCGCAGGCGGCUUUGUAAGUCUGGUGUUUAAACCUAGGGCUCAACCCUGGGUCGCAUUGGAAACUGCAAGGCUUGAGUGCAGAAGAGGAGAGUGGAAUUCCACGUGUAGCGGUGAAAUGCGUAGAGAUGUGGAGGAACACCAGUGGCGAAGGCGACUCUCUGGGCUGUAACUGACGCUGAGGCGCGAAAGCGUGGGGA